GGUUGACCUCGGAUCAGGUAGGGAUACCCGCUGAACUUAAGCAUAUCAAUAAGCGGAGGAAAAGAAACCAACAGGGAUUGCCUCAGUAACGGCGAGUGAAGCGGCAAUAGCUCAAAUUUGAAAGCUGGCCCCUUCGGGGUCCGCGUUGUAAUUUGUAGAGGAUGAUUCGGCGAGGGCUCCCGCCUAAGUUCCCUGGAACGGGACGUCAUAGAGGGUGAGAAUCCCGUAUGCGGUGGGCUGCCUUAGCCAUGUGAAUCUCCUUCGACGAGUCGAGUUGUUUGGGAAUGCAGCUCUAAAUGGGAGGUAAAUUUCUUCUAAAGCUAAAUACCGGCCAGAGACCGAUAGCGCACAAGUAGAGUGAUCGAAAGAUGAAAAGCACUUUGGAAAGAGAGUUAAAAAGUACGUGAAAUUGUUGAAAGGGAAGCGCUUGCAGCCAGACUUGUCCGCAGUUGCUCAGCCGGUCUCCUGACCGGUGUACUCUUCUGCGGCCAGGCCAGCAUCAGUUCGGGCGGUCGGAUAAAGGCCUUGGGAACGUAGCUCCUCUCGGGGAGUGUUAUAGCCCAGGGUGCAAUGCGGCCAGCCUGGACUGAGGAUCUCGCUUCGGCUAGGAUGCUGGCGUAAUGGCUGUAAGCGGCCCGUCUUGAAACACGGACCAAGGAGUCUAACAUCUAUGCGAGUGUUUGGGUGUCAAACCCAUACGCGUAAUGAAAGUGAACGGAGGUGGGAACCCUCACGGGUGCACCAUCGACCGAUCCUGAUGUCUUCGGAUGGAUUUGAGUAAGAGCAUAGCUGUUGGGACCCGAAAGAUGGUGAACUAUGCCUGAAUAGGGUGAAGCCAGAGGAAACUCUGGUGGAGGCUCGCAGCGGUUCUGACGUGCAAAUCGAUCGUCAAAUUUGGGUAUAGGGGCGAAAGACUAAUCGAACCAGUAGCUGGUUCCUGCCGAAGU
rnacentral:rRNA from 1 species